UUAAUUGAAGAGUUUGAUCAUGGCUCAGAUUGAACGCUGGCGGCAGGCCUAACACAUGCAAGUCGAGCGGUAACAGGGGAAGCUUGCUUCUCGCUGACGAGCGGCGGACGGGUGAGUAAUGUAUGGGGAUCUGCCCGAUAGAGGGGGAUAACCACUGGAAACGGUGGCUAAUACCGCAUAAUCUCUUAGGAGCAAAGCAGGGGAACUUCGGUCCUUGCGCUAUCGGAUGAACCCAUAUGGGAUUAGCUAGUAGGUGGGGUAAUGGCUCACCUAGGCGA
rnacentral:rRNA from 1 species